rnacentral:rRNA from 1 species
CCUAACACAUGCAAGUCGAGCGCAGGAAGCAAGUUGAUCCCCUUCGGGGGUGACGCUUGUGGAAUGAGCGGCGGACGGGUGAGUAACACGUGGGCAACCUGCCUGUAAGACUGGGAUAACCCCGGGAAACCGGGGCUAAUACCGGAUAAUACUUUCUUUUGCAUAAAGGAAAGUUGAAAGGCGGCGUCGGCUGUCACUUACAGAUGGGCCCGCGGCGCAUUAGCUAGUUGGUGAGGUAACGGCUCACCAAGGCGACGAUGCGUAGCCGACCUGAGAGGGUGAUCGGCCACACUGGGACUGAGACACGGCCCAGACUCCUACGGGAGGCAGCAGUAGGGAAUCUUCCGCAAUGGACGAAAGUCUGACGGAGCAACGCCGCGUGAGUGAUGAAGGUUUUCGGAUCGUAAAACUCUGUUGUUAGGGAAGAACAAGUACGAUAGUAACUGAUCGUACCUUGACGGUACCUAACCAGAAAGCCACGGCUAACUACGUGCCAGCAGCCGCGGUAAUACGUAGGUGGCAAGCGUUGUCCGGAAUUAUUGGGCGUAAAGCGCUCGCAGGCGGUCCUUUAAGUCUGAUGUGAAAUCUCGCGGCUCAACCGCGAACGGUCAUUGGAAACUGGAGGACUUGAGUACAGAAGAGGAGAGUGGAAUUCCACGUGUAGCGGUGAAAUGCGUAGAGAUGUGGAGGAACACCAGUGGCGAAGGCGACUCUCUGGUCUGUAACUGGCGCUGAGGAGCGAAAGCGUG